rnacentral:ncRNA from 1 species
GAAAGGCUCCUGGAUAUCGGUUGGUCAUCUGAGAAAGAUGGCAGCACCUGUAGAGGUGUGGGAUCCUACCGCCGGGAGCUAUUUUUAU